UGGAUACUCAGGUGUUCCCAUUCGAUGGUAAACGCUGAACACAGACUCACCAUGGACUUGGGGCUGAGCUGGGUUUUCCUUGUUGUGCUUUUCAAAGGUGUCCAGGGUGAGGUGAAGCUGGUGGAGUCCGGAGGAGAUUUGGUGAAGCCCGGAGGAUCGCUGAGACUCUCCUGUGCAGCCUCUGGAUUCACCUUCAGUGAUUACUACAUGUAUUGGUUCCGCCAGGCUCCAGAAAAGGCACCAGAGUGGGUUGCUGUUGUUAGAAAUAAAGAUAAGGGCUACACAACAGAGUACAGUGCAUCUGUGAAAGGCAGAUUCACCAUCUCAAGAGAUGACUCCAAAAGUACGGCCUAUCUGCAAAUGAACAGCCUGAGAGUUGAGGACACAGCCAGAUAUUACUGUGGAGAAACACAGUGA